UUAAUGGCUAGAAUGGUUGUUAGUUGGUAAAUGAUUAGGCUAUCCCAUAAGGUAUCACUUCUUCUUCCUCCGAAAGGCCUUCCCCAAAGAAGACGUCAAUUAAAACGGAACGGUUACAGUCGUCGAGAGGAGCGAGGAACGCUGGAACGUCACGACGGAAAAAGGACGGAACCCAGGAUCCACCGUCUGUCCCUGUAAUAGCUAAGGAUGAACCACGCGACGUUCGAGAAGGGAAAAGUUCGAAACACGGAGAAAAGAGGACGGAAAAACCUCGAGGAAGAGAACACGGCCACAGCGUACACAAGGAGAGCGGUUCAAAGCAUCGGGCAGAAACCACAGAAGAUGACGUCACGGAUCAAUCCAAGCUGUACUCUCAUCACCGAGACCGCGUACAGCGAAAGCGUCGGAAUUGCGUGCCCGGACUGAAAACGCUCAGAAAACACCUGCAGCUGAGGAGGUAUCAAAGGCGGUUGUAGACAGCAGGCCAACAACGGUUCGUCAAACACGAAGACAAAAUACCUUCAAUUUGAAGAAUGAAGAUACCCAAGACGACAUCCUUCAUCACGAGACUGUCAACACAACUACAGAAAACAGUCAAGGUGCCCAGGCCGUUCAUGAUGUGGUAACAACCGAGACGACUUCUGGUGUCGAGGACAACUACGACGAUGACUUUGAGG